rnacentral:rRNA from 1 species
AGAAAAUAGAUACCCCGGUAGUCCACGCCGUAAACGAUGAAUACUAGGUGUGGGGGUUAUCAUGACUUCCGUGCCGCAGUUAAACACAAAUAAGUAUUCCGCCUGGGGAGUACGAUCGCAAGAUUAAAACUCAAAGGAAUUGACGGGGGCCCGCACAAGCAGCGGAGCAUGUGGUUUAAAUUCGAAGCAACGCGAAGAACCUUACCUAGACUUGACAUCUCCUGAAUUACUCGUAACGGAGGAAGCCCUUCGGGGCAGGAAGACAGGUGGUGCAUGGUUGUCGUCAGCUCGUGUCGUGAGAUGUUGGGUUAAGUCCCGCAACGAGCGCAACCCUUGUCGUUAGUUGCUACCAUUAAGUUGAGCACUCUAGCGAGACUGCCGCGGUUAACGCGGAGGAAGGUGGGGAUGACGUCAAAUCAUCAUGCCCCUUAUGUCUAGGGCUACACACGUGCUACAAUGGUCGGUACAAAAGACGCAAUACCGUGAGGUGGAGCAAAACUUAUAAAACCGAUCCCAGUUCGGAUUGUAGGCUGCAACUCGCCUACAUGAA